GCGCCCCUCUACAUAGAUUCUACCACUAACUGCCAACUUGAUUCCCAGGUGGGCCUGGGGUAGAGCCCAGGAAUUGACAUCACGGCUCUCAAACUGAUUCAGAUGUGCGGCUCGGUAACCUCAGAAGCCACCCUGUGAGCAGAGGAGGCCUUGGAUCCUACAGGCCCAGACCUUCCCUCCUGCCUGCCCCCCAGGAGGCCUCUGGGCAAUCCUGAGCAGCCCUCUGCUGACCUGUGUCUCAAGGUGAAGGAGUCGCAGAAACAGCGUUGUGUCAAGAAACAAAGGCUGUAAUCUCUAUGCCCAACAUGGGGCUCGAACUCACCACCCAGAGAUCAAGAGUCGCACGCUCUACGGACAGAGCCAGCCAGGCACCCCUGGAUAUCCUUCUUUGAUAACUAUACAAAAACACAAGAAAUGGUAAUUUGUUUAAAGUUAGU